rnacentral:rRNA from 1 species
UACAGAGGGGGCAAGCGUUGUUCGGAAUUACUGGGCGUAAAGGGCGUGUAGGCGGCCGCCUAAGUCAGACGUGAAAUCCCUCGGCUCAACCGGGAAACUGCGUCUGAUACCGGGUGGCUUGAAUUCGGGAGAGGGAUGCAGAAUUCCAGGUGUAGCGGUGAAAUGCGUAGAUAUCUGGAGGAACACCGGUGGCGAAGGCGGCAUCCUGGACCGAGAUUGACGCUGAGAGGCGAAAGCCAGGGGAGCAAACGGG